AGAGUUUGAUCCUGGCUCAGAUUGAACGCUGGCGGAAUGCUUUACACAUGCAAGUCGAACGGCAGCACGGGGGCAACCCUGGUGGCGAGUGGCGAACGGGUGAGUAAUACGUAGGAACAUAUCCAGUAAUGGGGGAUAACGCAGCGAAAGCUGUGCUAAUACCGCAUACGUCCUGAGGGAGAAAGUGGGGGAUUCGCAAGAACCUCACGUUAUUGGAGUGGCCUACGCCUGAUUAGCUAGUUGGUGAGGUAAAGGCUCACCAAGGCGACGAUCAGUAGCUGGUCUGAGAGGAUGAUCAGCCACACUGGAACUGAGACACGGUCCAGACUCCUACGGGAGGCAGCAGUGGGGAAUUUUGGACAAUGGGCGCAAGCCUGAUCCAGCCAUUCCGCGUGAGUGAAGAAGGCCUUCGGGUUGUAAAGCUCUUUCAGCAGGGAAGAAACGGUUGCGGCUAAUACCCGCGACUAAUGACGGUACCUGAAGAAGAAGCACCGGCUAACUACGUGCCAGCAGCCGCGGUAAUACGUAGGGCGCAAGCGUUAUCCGGAAUUAUUGGGCGUAAAGAGCUCGUAGGCGGUUUGUCGCGUCUGCCGUGAAAGUCCGGGGCUCAACUCCGGAUCUGCGGUGGGUACGGGCAGACUAGAGUGAUGUAGGGGAGACUGGAAUUCCUGGUGUAGCGGUGAAAUGCGCAGAUAUCAGGAGGAACACCGAUGGCGAAGGCAGGUCUCUGGGCAUUAACUGACGCUGAGGAGCGAAAGCAUGGGGAGCGAACAGGAUUAGAUACCCUGGUAGUCC
rnacentral:rRNA from 1 species